CAGCCGCCGCGGUAAUACGUAGGUGGCAAGCGUUGUCCGGAAUUAUUGGGCGUAAAGGGCUCGCAGGCGGUUUCUUAAGUCUGAUGUGAAAGCCCCCGGCUCAACCGGGGAGGAUCAUUGGAAACUGGGAAACUUGAGUGCAGAAGAGGAGAGUGGAAUUCCACGUGUAGCGGUGAAAUGCGUAGAGAUGUGGAGGAACACCAGUGGCGAGGGCGACUCUCUGGUCUGUAACUGACGCUGAGGAGCGAAAGCGUGGGGAGCGAACAGGAUUAGAGACCCCAGUAGUCCCUGUCUCUUAUAC
rnacentral:rRNA from 1 species